AGCGAACGUUUGCGGCGGGCUUAACACAUGCAAGUCGAACGGGCUGUUCCUUCGGGGGCAGUCAGUGGCGCACGGGUGCGUAACACGUAGGUAAUCAACCCUCUGGUUGGGGAUAACACUUCGAAAGGAGUGCUAAUACCCGGUAUGGCGCAGCGGUCUUCGGAUCGCGGCGAGAAAGACCCGCAAGGGUUGCCAGAGGACGAGUUUGCGGCCCAUCAGCUAGUUGGCGAGGUAACGGCUCACCAAGGCGAAGACGGGUAGCUGGUCUGAGAGGAUGAUCAGCCACACUGGAACUGAGACACGGUCCAGACUCCUACGGGAGGCAGCAGUGGGGAAUAUUGCGCAACGGGCGAAAGCCUGACACAGCCACGCCGCGUGAGCGAUGAAGGCCUCGGUCGUAA
rnacentral:rRNA from 1 species